CUUUGUGGGCCAUUCGUGAGCUAAGAGCUAAACUCGUAAGUUCAGGAAAAACUCAAAGACCUUUUCGUUUUCUGGCGCCGGUAUCAGAGUUCGCCGUUUUUUUCUUUCCUUUGUGCUGUUGCUAAGGACGGCUAAGACCGCUCACGGUCCAUCUUGCAACAGAGUUCAUCGUUUAUCAGCAAACUUUGUUUUCGGAAACUACAAUAUGACCUGUAUGAUAACACCGAUGACACGCCAGACUCCGCUGCUCCAAGUCCAUCUUCAAAUAUCCCGUUGGAAAAACUCGAAGGCGAAACCAGUGGAAACAAAGAC